AUACGGAGGAUGCAAGCGUUAUCCGGAUUUAUUGGGUUUAAAGGGUGCGUAGGCGGUUUGCUAAGCGGGAGGUGAAAUGCCGGCGCUCAACGUCGGAAGUGCCUCCCGAACUGGUGGACUUGAAUGACUCUGCCGUGGGAGGAAUGUGUAGUGUAGCGGUGAAAUGCUUAGAGAUUACACAGAACACCGAUUGCGAAGGCAUCUCACGAAGGGUUGAUUGACGCUGAGGCACGAAAGCGUGGGGAUCAAACAGGAUUAGAUACCCUGGUAGUCCACGCAGUAAACGAUGAUGGCUAACCGCUGGGCUUAUCAGUUCAGUGGCCAAGCGAAAGCGAUAAGCCAUCCACCUGGGGAGUACGACCGCAAGGUUGAAACUCAAAUGAAUUGGCGGGA
rnacentral:rRNA from 1 species